rnacentral:rRNA from 1 species
CCUACGGGAGACAGCAGUGGGGAAUAUUGCACAAUGGGGGAAACCCUGAUGCAGCGACGCCGCGUGAGCGAUGAAGUAUUUCGGUAUGUAAAGCCCUAUCAGCAGGGAAGAAAAUGACGGUACCUGACCAAGAAGCCCCGGCUAACUACGUGCCAGCAGCCGCGGAAAUACGUAGGGGGAAGCGUUAUCCGGAUUUACUGGGAGUAAAGGGAGCGUAGACGGUCCUGCAAGCCAGAUGUGAAAGCCCGGGGCUCAACCCCGGGACUGCAUUUGGAACUGUAAGGCUAGAGUGUCGGAGAGGCAGGCGGAAUUCCUGGUGUAGCGGUGAAAUGCGUAGAUAUUAGGAGGAACACCAGUGGCGAAGGCGGGCUGCUGGACGAUAACUGACGUUGAGGCUCGAAAGCGUGGGGAGCAAACAGGAUUAGAUACCCGGGUAGUC